rnacentral:rRNA from 1 species
GGUUAAGCGACCAAGCGUACACGGUGGAUGCCCUGGCAGUCAGAGGCGAUGAAGGACGUGCUAAUCUGCGAAAAGCGCCGGCGAGGUGAUAUGAACCCUUGACCCGGCGAUGUCCGAAUGGGGAAACCCGGUGCACUACGGUGCAUCAUCGUUAGCUGAAUACAUAGGCUAACGAGGCGAACCGGGGGAACUGAAACAUCUAAGUACCCCGAGGAAAAGAAAUCAACCGAGAUUCCCCCAGUAGCGGCGAGCGAACGGGGAGGAGCCCAGAGCCUGAAUCAGCUUGUGUGUUAGUGGAAGCGUCUGGAAAGUCGCACGGUACAGGGUGAAAGUCCCGUACACGAAAACGCACAGGCUGUGAGCUCGAUGAGUAGGGCGGGACACGUGGUAUCCUGUCUGAAUAUGGGGGGACCAUCCUCCAAGGCUAAAUACUCCUGACUGACCGAUAGUGAACCAGUACCGUGAGGGAAAGGCGAAAAGAACCCCGGCGAGGGGAGUGAAAAAGAACCUGAAACCGUGUACGUACAAGCAGUGGGAGCCUCUUUUAUGGGGUGACUGCGUACCUUUUGUAUAAUGGGUCAGCGACUUAUAUUCUGUAGCAAGGUUAACCGUAUAGGGGAGCCGAAGGGAAACCGAGUCUUAACUGGGCGUUAAGUUGCAGGGUAUAGACCCGAAACCCGGUGAUCUAGCCAUGGGCAGGUUGAAGGUUGGGUAACACUAACUGGAGGACCGAACCGACUAAUGUUGAAAAAUUAGCGGAUGACCUGUGGCUGGGGGUGAAAGGCCAAUCAAACCGGGAGAUAGCUGGUUCUCCCCGAAAGCU